rnacentral:lncRNA from 1 species
GUUUUAAACUUUAUUGUGAAUGUUUAAAAAAGUGCUAAUUUGAAAAUAAUUAUUGCUAAAAAAAAUCUCUUUCAUACAACAAAUACACACACAAAAGAAGAAGGAAAAAAAAAAAGAAAGGAAAUGAAAGAGAGUUAGUAACAACCUAACCUAACUUUCUCGUAUCUCCAAAACAGCAUAUGGAGGGAAAAGGAUGCUGUAGUGAAGAUACCAGCAAUAACCUGUUACAGACUGCCCACCCAGGCAUCCCUUUGGCAGUAAUUGUUAGUUCAUCCUAUGCAUCCUGCCAGUCAUGGGAUAACUUUCAGUUGUCAGUUGAAGAUCCAGCCUCGCGAUGAUCCUAUAUUAACUUUAGUAUCACUAACCAGCCAAAAAACUAAUUAUUGAAGUUAAUAAAGUCAACAUAGCUAACAAAAUAAUUUAUUAAAAUAAAAACAGAAACAUUAUUGAUUACAUCUAGUAAAUAAAUAACUUAAAUUAUCUUCUACAGUUAAACUUUCUGGUAAAAUAAAUAAUCUAAAACACAACAUAAAUCCAACUUCCAGACAGCAUUACCAAGUUGAUGAAUAAACAAGAACAAGCACAGCACAACAGUUCCCAAAAGACUUUUUCACAUCCAAAUGAUCCUCAAUAUUAGUUUGUGAUGACCUCUUUUUAUAUACAAUUUAUUUUUCACAUUAUUCUUGUAAAUCAAUAAAAUUUAAGAAAAAAUGACAAUAUUAAUUAAUUUCUCAAUCAUCAACAAAAGUGGCCCUUUUUCAACUUCAAAACAAUAUUUCUUCUAAACUUUCAAAUUCUUAUUAAUAUAUUUUUUCUUUUUUAACUUUUCAUUACUUCCCACUGGCAACACUGAUCUUUGUCAUUUGAAUUAGCAAUGUUGACCAAACAGAUAGGUGAACCUUUUAAACCCAAUGAUAUCAAUUUAGUGUCCCAAAUAUGGGAGGCCUAAAUGACGUAUAUUAUUGAGCUAUUAUUAAGAUAAGGACUGGAAGCACAUGAAGAGAUGAAUAGGAAAAGAAAGAUUAGAAGAAAGGACAACACAAAAUGUAAGAAGACUACAGGAUAUGAAAAGACAACAAAGGACAAAACAACACAACACAGAAUCUGAACAAAUGAAGAGACAGAGCAAGACGACAGACUACCACAAGGAUAACAAAAUCAAAUAUGAGAGCAAUCAACCAACAGAAAAGGCACUACCAAUAGAAACUCCUAAGAAACUCCAAGAAAAACAAACCAAACACAAAAGAAGACAAAACAUAAAAGAUGAGAUAUAAGUAACUAGGUUACAAAGAAAAAAUAGUAAAACCAACAAACUGCAAAAAGUCCCCCUGUGAAUGAAUAAGAAGGCAAAAGAGCCAAGGGCAACGAUUCCUUUGGAUUGAAACAGAACAAGCAAACUUUCAAAGAUGCCAAGCAGCAAGCAAAAACAGCAGAUAAGCUACCAACUGGCAGCAAAAACCAAUUCCCUAGGAGCAGAUGAAGACAACAAAGUCAACUGACAGAAGAGAACAAAACAGGCCAGAAUGAAAGAGUACAACUGGGUUUGUGACAAAAAUUCUAUCAUCUGAUACGAAGUCAGAAAAAUCAAAAUGGUAUCUGAAAAUUGGAAGUACAUGCCUUCUAGUUUUACUAGCAUAUUAUAUAAAUAACUAUCAUUCCCAGAUUGUGUUUAACACAUUGUUGACUGACUAAGGUGCAACAAAGUCAAAUUUAGGUCACUGCCAAGAACCAGCAUUUUACAAUAUAAUUUGAUCUCUUUGUUGUUUUACAUAAACAACCAUAAUAACUUUUUGAUUGAUGUAAAAUUUUUAGUUUUAAUUCUUAAAAAUUCAGAUGAUUUAUUUCAUAUAACAAAACAGAAAUGAAUCUUGUAUUGUAAUUCAUCAAUUAUAAUUUGUAAUAAAAAAUAUGGAUAUUAGCAGUUACUCUAUACUGUAAUGGGAAAAAGUGAAGAAUUCCUUAAUUUUUAAAAUUCUUAAGUAUUUUAUUAUAACUGCAACUAAUCAUAUUUUACUAGGAAU